rnacentral:rRNA from 1 species
AUUAACGCUAGCGGCAGGCAUAAUACAUGCAAGUUGAACGGCAGCACAGGUAGCAAUACUGGGUGGCGAGUGGCGCACGGGUGCGUAACACGUAUGCAACCUACCCUAUACAGGCGAAUAACCUUUAGAAAUGAGGGCUAAUACGCCGUAGUAUUACAGAUGGGCAUCUAUUUGUAAUUAAAGAUUUAUCGGUAUAGGAUGGGCAUGCGUCCCAUUAGUUAGUUGGUAGGGUAACGGCCUACCAAGGCUAUGAUG